UUUCAAAGUUCAUAUAACACUACAUUCAGAAUGCUUAUCAUGUCUCUACAAGCCUCAAAAUAAAAUGGAGUGGCUGUACAAUUAUAAAGGAAGCACUUAAAUAGUUACAUUAACAAUACAUUUUUCUGAUUUGUUGAAACAACAUGACUGCAUAUGUAUUGCAUCCUUAUGAGAUAAAUUCUCCAGGUUUCCUUUUCCAUCUUCAGAACUGAUAUCCAAAUUUCCCAAAAAGCUCUGAAUUUCGGAGACAUCAGAUUUACUUGAAGACUUCAUACAUGUGCACAUAUGGCUCUGCUGGGUAUACUUAUUGUGUUCUUCAUUCUCCUUGCACUGGCAAUUAUAAGUUUUCACUGAUGCUGUUUUUCUUUUCAGUUUUCUGCCUGUUGUUUUCCCUUAAAUGAACAUAACAUGGAAAUCAGUUGAUGUUUUAAAGUAUUUAGCUAAUUUAACUGUACUCUGUCAACAACGAGAAAAUUUUUGCUUAAAAACAUGCAGUAUUCUAGCACCUAAUAGCAGAUAUGUAAAUUUUUAAGAAGCUAAGUAUAAAUAAAUCAGCAUCUUAAUAAAA